rnacentral:rRNA from 1 species
GAGCUUGCUCCCGGAUGUUAGCGGCGGACGGGUGAGUAACACGUGGGUAACCUGCCUGUAAGACUGGGAUAACUCCGGGAAACCGGAGCUAAUACCGGAUAGUUCCUUGAACCGCAUGGUUCAAGGAUGAAAGACGGUUUCGGCUGUCACUUACAGAUGGACCCGCGGCGCAUUAGCUAGUUGGUGAGGUAACGGCUCACCAAGGCGACGAUGCGUAGCCGACCUGAGAGGGUGAUCGGCCACACUGGGACUGAGACACGGCCCAGACUCCUACGGGAGGCAGCAGUAGGGAAUCUUCCGCAAUGGACGAAAGUCUGACGGAGCAACGCCGCGUGAGUGAUGAAGGUUUUCGGAUCGUAAAGCUCUGUUGUUAGGGAAGAACAAGUGCAAGAGUAACUGCUUGCACCUUGACGGUACCUAACCAGAAAGCCACGGCUAACUACGUGCCAGCAGCCGCGGUAAUACGUAGGUGGCAAGCGUUGUCCGGAAUUAUUGGGCGUAAAGGGCUCGCAGGCGGUUUCUUAAGUCUGAUGUGAAAGCCCCCGGCUCAACCGGGGAGGGUCAUUGGAAACUGGGAAACUUGAGUGCAGAAGAGGAGAGUGGAAUUCCACGUGUAGCGGUGAAAUGCGUAGAGAUGUGGAGGAACACCAGUGGCGAAGGCGACUCUCUGGUCUGUAACUGACGCUGAGGAGCGAAAGCGUGGGGAGCGAACAGGAUUAGAUACCCUGGU